rnacentral:tRNA from 1 species
AGAGAGCUAGUUUAAAAUAAAACAUAGGAUUUCGGCUCCUAAAAUCCUAUAUAAUUUAGGGCUUUUUU